rnacentral:misc_RNA from 1 species
ACCACCACAGAGCGCUUUCAGCUGGAAGCCCAAUUCCUUCUUCCACACAUACUUCCAAUUUUUGCAAUCAUUCUCAAGCAUUUUCUUCACUUCACAGCAGCAGUGAAGUUCCCAAAGAGAAUAAUUGUAGCUUGGGGCCAUCCAUUUCUGUGUCUGCUCCACCUGAAAAGCAGACAUCAGGUGUUGCUUCUGCUAAAGAAUUCACUGGUGGUGAGGAGAAUGGCAGUGGGAAAGGGGGCUUCCAUGGUUUACAAGAGAGUUUGGAGCACAAUCUUCCUGAUAGUCCCUUUGCUUCUCCUACUAAAGAAUCUGGAGAGUACUUCUGUGCCUUCAUAAAUGGGGCUAGUGAAACUGAGAAGGACGCAACCACUGUGCCACCAUCUUCUGCUAACAACAAUUUGGUCACGUCAACUUUCAUGCCUGCUAGUUCUUCUAUAGAAAUGACGUCCUUCAAAUCCUUCAACUGCCAAUUACCUAGGUUCUCAUCUGGUCAUGGAUCCAUCAGUAUGUAUGCCGGCACAGGUGGACCGACCUGCCCUGUUGGAAUUUAGCUUCCUAAUUUUUAGGGUGGUCGAGGAGUAUAACUAAACAAAACUCCCAUCAAAGAUAUGUAGAGAACCACCGUCGUCACCAGUGACUACCUUUACAACGUGUAUCGUCAUCCUGAUAACUACGUGCUUGCUACCAUAAAAAUUGCAUACGUGAAAGGCAGUAAGGAAGUGGUUUAGCCGUUCCUUUCUUUGUUUUACUAUUUUUAUCACUCAUCUGAGUAGUUGAAGUAAGUUGGACCACAGGUAAUUAAAGAAAGCCAAGGAAGAAAAAAUUAGGAAAACAUAUAUACUUAAUAUACACUAGUUGUAACGUUUAUGGAACUGUAAUUUCCUCCCUUUUUUAGCCUGUUUUCUACCACUGCUGUCUUCCUUGGAAGAAACAAAUUAUAAAGAAAGCCUAUGUUUGGUGCAGUUUGAUACUUAGUCUGUGUCUUUGGGUAUAAUCACAAUCCAUUUACGGUAGCGGCAGCUUGUAAAAAGCCAAGAAAACUGGAAAAAGGAGGUUCAUUGUAAAAAAUUUGGUGCUAGGACGUGGUGCUUGAAGAAGGGCACAGUAAUUAGCAAAUUAUAGACAAGUGAAGCUUCAGCCUUGUAUGUACGAUAUUUCGGGCUUUUCACUAUCAUUUGUAGCGUUGUAUGACGUUUUAAGUUUUUAUUGAUUGCCAUACAGAAAAGUAAAUAUUCAGCCAAAGGAUCAUUUGCAAAGAAAAAUGGAAUUUUCUUAUACAUGCUCCCUUGGCCUGUAGUGUUGCCUGACGGCCAGGACUUUGUCACUUUGCUCGAAAGAGUUGUGUUUCUUCACUUAUGCCAUUGUGUGAUAUUUUAUCCAAGUGGGGUCUGUCUAAAUUUUGCCAUUCAUUGAGGGGGAGGAAAGAGGAAACAGGGUCCCAUAACGCACAACAUAGCACGGAGUGCUGACAUUGCAGG